rnacentral:rRNA from 1 species
GAUCAUGGCUCAGGAUGAACGCUGGCGGCGUGCUUAACACAUGCAAGUCGAGCGAAGCACUUUUGCGGAUUUCUUCGGAUUGAAGCAAUUGUGACUGAGCGGCGGACGGGUGAGUAACGCGUGGGUAACCUGCCUCAUACAGGGGGAUAACAGUUGGAAACGGCUGCUAAUACCGCAUAAGCGCACAGUACCGCAUGGUACCGUGUGAAAAACUCCGGUGGUAUGAGAUGGACCCG